rnacentral:tRNA from 1 species
GAGAGAUGGCUGAGCGGACGAAAGCGCCGGUCUCGAAAACCGGUAUAUCUUCGGGUAUCGUGGGUUCGAAUCCCACUCUCUCC